UCGCAGAAAUUUCCUGGAGAAAUUGAGAAUUCCUUGGCCUUGAGGCAAGAUAUACCUAUAAGGUUGAAAUAUGAGCUUGGAGGUCACCUUAGCAAAAAGAGAUGUGAAGGAGCCCUGUAUUCUGAGGAGAGCCUGCAGAGCCAUAAGGAUGUCAGGUGAUGCUGUGCCCUUCUCUGGAUCCUGUCAGGAAGAGGUGCAGAAAGACUGUCUCAUACUGGCAAUGUGAAAUGUAUUCAGAGUAGACAGCUAAUUAGCAGUGGCUCACCGUUCCUUGCAGCCAGAAUGGCCAGAUGAGCAGUAAUUAAGUAAAUAAAUGGAUGUAAAAGUCCUUCAAAAAAUCAAUAAACAAGCUUUGGAAGGAGAAAGCUUUUGGCUCUUCUUUCUUUAUACUUGAAAUUCAAGUGAAGAAUAAUGGAGUGGGAAGAGGGAAGGAGCCAAGAUUCCCUGAGGACGUCCUACUGCACAGGAUACCUCUUCACAGG
rnacentral:lncRNA from 10 species